rnacentral:rRNA from 1 species
GCCCUAAAAAUAAUUUAAGGUGACACCUGCCCAGUGAAUAAAGAAUUUAUUAAAAUGAGAAUUUUAUUUUAACGGCCGCGGUAUUCUUGACUGUGCUAAUGUAGCAUAAAAAACAGUCGUUUAAUUGGCGAAUGGUAUGAAUGGUAACACGAAGAUUUAACUGUCUUAAAAAUAAAAUAAAAAAAUUAAGAUUAUAGUAAAGACGCUAUAAAAAACUGUAAGACGAAAAGACCCUAUAAAGCUUAACUAUAGACUUUAUCUUUGCACAUACAAAAACCCGCUAUAGGUAAAGUCAGGUAGUUUAGUUGGGGCAACGACAUUUUAUAAAUAAAGAAUGUAAACAAUAUAAAAUAAUAUAUUUUAUUUAUUGUGUAACUUAUAAGUUUAACAAUCAUAAUUUGGGUUAUAAUGACCUGUUAAAAUAUMAAAAAAUAUUUAACAAUAAAUAAAUAAAAGCUACUUUAGGGAUAACAGGUUAAUUUCGUCUUAGAGAUGAUAUUAAAGACGAAGUUUGACACCUCGAUGUUGAAUUGAGAUAUCCUGGUGGUGUAGCAGCUACCAAGGGUAGGUCUGUUCGACCUUAAAAAUCUC